AACGAACGCUGGCGGCAUGCCUAACACAUGCAAGUCGAACGAGACCUUCGGGUCUAGUGGCGCACGGGUGCGUAACGCGUGGGAACCUGCCCUUAGGUUCGGAAUAACUCCCCGAAAGGGGUGCUAAUACCGGAUAAUGUCUUCGGACCAAAGAUUUAUUGCCUUUGGAUGGGCCCGAGUUGGAUUAGCUGGUUGGUAGGGUAAAAGCCUACCAAGGCGACGAUCCAUAGCUGGUUUGAGAGGCUGAUCAGCCACACUGGGACUGAGACACGGCCCAGAAUCCUACGGGAGGCAGCAGAGGGGAAUAUAGGACCAUGGGCGAAGGGCUGAUCCAGCACUGCCGCGUAAGUGAUGAAGGCCUUAGGGUUGUAAAGCUCUUUUACCCGGGAUGAUAAUGACGGUACCGGGAGAAUAAGCUCCGGCUAACUACGUG
rnacentral:rRNA from 1 species